ensembl:snRNA U4 U4 spliceosomal RNA
AGCUUCACAUAGUGGCAGUGUCAUAGCCAAUGAGGUUUAUCUGAGGUGUGAUUAUUGCUAAUUGAUUUGUUCACUAUCACUCAGUUGAUAAAUGGCUGUGCCAAGGUUUGAACUCCAGACUGG